UGCAAAUAGUCAGCCACGAGGACAUCAGGGACAUGCAAAAAUCAAAAAGUGCCCAGGAUGGUCCUGUGAGCAAUCCCAGUAGCAGUGACAGCAGGCAGGACUCGCCCCACAAAGCCCCAAAGAAGAAGGGCAUCAAGUCCUCCAUUGGUCGUUUGUUUGGCAAAAAGGAAAAGGGUCGGCCUGGACAAACUGGCAAAGAAUCACCAGGACAAGAAACCUCAUCUCAGGAUGCGUUCCGACUUAGCAAACUGGGAGGAAAGGCUGAAAAAAAUCGAAAAUUUCAAAAAAACUCAACAGGCUCCCAGGAAGGUCCUGUGAACAAUCCCAGUACCAGUGACAGCAGGCAGGACGCGCUCCACAAAGCCCCAAAGAAGAAGAGCAUCAAGUCCUCCACUGGUCGUUUGUUUGGCAAAAAGGAAAAGGGUCGGCCUGGACAAACUGGCAAAGAAUCACCAAGACAAGCUGUUGUUUCUGAAACAGAAAACUCAUCUCAGGAUGCCUUCCAACUUAGCAAAUUGGGAGGAAAGGAUGAAAAAAAUCAUCAACUUCAAAAACACUCAACAGGCUCCCAGGAAGGUCCUGUGAACAAUCCCAGUACCAGUGACAGCAGGCAGGAUGCGCUCCACAAAGCCCCAAAAAAGAAGAGCAUCAAGUCCUCCACUGGUCGUUUGUUUGGCAAAAAGAAAAAGGUUCUGCCUGGACAAACUGGCAAAGAAUCACCAAGACAAGCCGUUGUUUCUGAAACGGAAAACUCAUCUCAGGAUGCCUUCCAACUUAGCAAAUUGGGAGGAAAGGAUGAAAAAAAUCGUCAACUUCAAAAACACUCAACAGGCUCCCAGGAAGGUCCUGUGAACAAUCCCAGUACCAGUGACAGCAGGCAGGACGCGCUCCACAAAGCCCCAAAGAAGAAGAGCAUCAAGUCCUCCACUGGUCGUUUGUUUGGCAAAAAGAAUAAGGUUCUGCCUGGACAAACUGGCAAAGAAUCACCAAGACAAGCUGUUGUUUCUGAAACAGAAAACUCAUCUCAGGAUGCCUUCCAACUUAGCAAAUUGGGAGGAAAGGAUGAAAAAAAUCAUCAACUUCAAAAACACUCAACAGGCUCCCAGGAAGGUCCUGUGAACAAUCCCAGUACCAGUGACAGCAGGCAGGACGCGCUCCACAAAGCCCCAAAGAAGAAGAGCAUCAAGUCCUCCACUGGUCGUUUGUUUGGCAAAAAGAAAAAGGGUCCACCUGGACAAACUGGCAAAGAAUCACCAAGACAAGCUGUUGUUUCUGAAACAGAAAACUCAUCUCAGGAUGCCUUCCAACUUAGCAAACUGGGAGGAAAGGAUGAAAAAAAUCGUCAACUUCAAAAACAGUAAGCUUUUUGUUAUUUCUCCAUCUCAUGAAACAUUUUUCUGAGUUA
ensembl:lincRNA